GAUGAAGAACGCAGCGAAAUGCGAUAAGUAAUGUGAAUUGCAGAAUUCAGUGAAUCAUCGAAUCUUUGAACGCACAUUGCGCCCCCCAGUAUUCUGGCGGGCAUGCCUGUUCGAGCGUCAUUUCAACCAUCAAGCCCUGCUUGUGUUGGGGUCCUGUGGCUGCCCGCAGGCCCUGAAAACCAGUGGCGGGCUCGCUAGUCACACCGAGCGCAGUAGCACAUCUCGCUCAGGGCGUGCGGCGGGCUCCAGCCGUUAAAGCACCCACCUUUCGCAAGGUUGACCUCGGAUCAGGUAGGAAUACCCGCUGAACUUAAGCAUAUCAAUAAGCGGAGGA
rnacentral:misc_RNA from 1 species